rnacentral:rRNA from 1 species
UACGAAGGGGGGCUAGCGUUGCUCGGAAUCACUGGGCGUAAAGGGUGCGUAGGCGGGUCUUUAAGUCAGGGGUGAAAUCCUGGAGCUCAACUCCAGAACUGCCUUUGAUACUGAAGAUCUUGAGUUCGGGAGAGGUGAGUGGAACUGCGAGUGUAGAGGUGGAAUUCGUAGAUAUUCGCAAGAACACCAGUGGCGAAGGCGGCUCACUGGCCCGAUACUGACGCUGAGGAGCGAAAGCGUGGGGAGCAAACAG